UAGGUGGGUUCCGGUGAUCCUUUCGGCAAUGAAGCGACACAGGAAGUGGCUUUUGGGAUGGGCGGUAUUCGCACGGCCGGAGAUCUGGUCAUGAGAAUGC
rfam:Firmicutes bacterium ML8_F2 scaffold_1, whole genome shotgun sequence.